GAUGAACGCUGGCGGCGUGCCUAAUACAUGCAAGUCGAGCGAACGGACGAGAAGCUUGCUUUUCUGAUGUUAGCGGCGGACGGGUGAGUAACACGUGUAUAACCUACCUAUAAGACUGGGAUAACUUCGAGAAACCGGAGCUAAUACCGGAUAAUAUUUUGAACCGCAUGGUUCAAAAGUGAAAGACGGUCUUGCUGUCUCUUAUAGAUGGAUCCGCGCUGCAUUAGCUAGUUGGUAAGUUAACGGCUUACCAAGGCAACGAUGCAUAGCCGACCUGAGAGGGUGAUCGGCCACACUGGAACUGAGACACGGUCCAGACUCCUACGGGAGGCAGCAGUAGGGAAUCGUCCGCAAUGGGCGAAAGCCUGACGGAGCAACGCCGCGUGAGUGAUGAAGGUCUUCGGAUCGUAAAACUCUGUUAUUAGGGAAGAACAUAUGUGGAAGUAACUGUGCACAUCUUGACGGUACCUAAUCAGAAAGCCACGGCUAACUACGUG
rnacentral:rRNA from 1 species